UUUGUGGUUCAUAUAUAGUAAAUUCAUAUUCAAAAAAGAGAUUAAAGGUAGGAAGUUAUUGAAUGUCUGGUGGUAUACAAAUAGAUAAUGAUUUAAGGAUUGUAAUCCCGAUGAUGAAAGAACUUAGUACUUAUAUUUAGAAAGAAAGAUAGAUUUUCUGCUUGAGAGAAAGAGAUAAGAAAAUUUUGACUUCUGUAAUUUGAUAAGUGUAUUAUGUUUUAUGAGUUAUAUUAAUUGAACCCAUAUAUUGAGCUUAUAAAUGUAUCAUGUACAAGUGAUGUGUGUUAUUAAUAGUAAUAACUGGGAAUAAGAGUUGAUAAGGUCAUAGGAUAUAGCUUGAGAUGACAAUGAAUGUGAAUAAAUGUAACUUGUUGGUGGAAAGUGCAUACAUAAGGACUUUCUAUUACUUGGUGCAUAUUUUGUAAGUUACUUAUUUCAUUGAAUGGAGAAGAAAGUUAUA
rnacentral:lncRNA from 1 species